rnacentral:rRNA from 1 species
GAUGAACGCUGGCGGCGUGCCUAAUACAUGCAAGUCGAGCGAACAGACUAGGUACUUGUUCCUCUGACGUUAGCGGCGAACGGGUGAGUAACGCGUGGAGAACCUACCUUUAAGACUGGGACAACUUCGGGAAACCGGAGCUAAUACCGCAUAAUAUAUUUAACCGCAUGGUUCAAUAGUGAAAGACGGUUUUGCUUCACCCUAUAGUUGUACCCCCGCCGCUUUAGCUGUUUGGGAAGGUAACGGCUUACCAAGGGGACGUAGAGUACCCGACCGGAGAGGGUGAUCGCCCACACGGGACCUGAGCCACGCUCCAGCCUCCUCGGGGAGGCAGAGGUAGGGAACCUUCCGCAAUGGGGGAAGGCCUGACGGAGCAACGCGGCGUGAGGGAUGAGGGUCUUCGGAUCGUAAAACUCUGUUAUUAGGGAAGACCAAAGGUGUAAGUAAAUGUGCACGUCUUGACGGUACCUACUCAGAAAGCCACGGCUAACUACGUG